CCUCAUAAAGCUUUUUCUGGUUCAGUUCCCACUGUUCCAUCUGACAGCCCAGCCAGCUGGCUCUACAGUUCAGUUGCUAUUCAGUGUUAAUUAAGGACAUGGUUUCUUCUUUCUCACUAAUAUUCAGAAAAAGACAUGCAAGUAUACAGUAUCAAACAGCCAGUCUAGCAUUACUGAUAGUGGAAAUUUUGUAUGAAAAUGGAUCGAUCUCCAGUGAAAGCUGAACAUCUCACUGUCCUUCCUCACACCCUGCAAUCACUCUAAUCAGUAUCAAAGUGAGAUUAUACCCAAGAAAAUGAAGUUUCUUGACUGCCUAUUUCUCCAAGUGAGGUGUGGAAAGCAGCUCACCUCCCAGGACCAUUCCAGCUUGACAGCACUUCCUCAAGCGACACGCUGGACAGUUCUUCCUACGAAUUUUAUCAACUAUGCAGUCAUUUCUUCCAGCACAUAAAUAGUUGUGCUGCCCUAUAAGACAGAGAAAAGCAAGAUUAAUACAAUGUUUUUUAACAUGA